CCUACGGGUGGCAGCAGUAGGGAAUCUUCCACAAUGGGCGAAAGCCUGAUGGAGCAACGCCGCGUGGGUGAAGAAGGUCUUCGGAUCGUAAAACCCUGUUGUUAGAGAAGAAAGUGCGUGAGAGUAACUGUUCACGUUUCGACGGAAUCUAACCAGAAAGCCACGGCUAAAUACGUGCCAGCAGCCGCGGUAAUACGUAGGUGGCAAGCGUUAUCUGGAUUUAUUGGGCGAAAAGGGAACGAAGGCGGUCUUGUAAGUAUGCUGUGAAAGCCUUCGGCUUAACCGGAGUAGUGCAUUGGAAACUGGGUGACUUGAGUGCAGAAGAGGCGAGUGGAACUCCAGGUGUAGCGGUGAAAUGCGUAGAUAUAUGGAAGAACACCAGUGGCGAAAGCGGCUCUCUGGUCUGUAACUGACGCUGAGGUUCGAAAGCGUGGGUAGCAAACAGGAUUAGAUACCCUUGUAGUC
rnacentral:rRNA from 1 species